rnacentral:lncRNA from 1 species
AGGUGUGUGUAUGGGUUUUCCUCACCUUCUCCUGAGAAAGGUUGUUUUUGAACAAAUUCUAUGUAUUCGGGGUCUAUCUCAAAACUAGAUGCUAUGAUAGGCUUUGAAGAUUUUGGUGGUUCGAGAUAUGUGCCCGUAGGUCUAUGAAAUUCAUAGAUAGACAUGUUUGAAUUCAUGAUAGACCAGAGAUCAAGGAUUAGAUAAGAAGAAAGAUUAGCAGAGAUGAGGCAAAGGAUAAAAGGAAAAUAUUUUUAUUAUUUUUUUUUAUUUUUUAGAAAAUGAUUAAGCUAGUUCGUAGUCAACUCAGCAACCGUCUCCCCGGCAACGGCGCCAAAAAUGCUUGUUGACACUUGCUAACACCACUUGAAUACUAGGUUGUCAUCCCCAGCAUGGCACUAGAGUGUACUAUGGUAUUUAUACGCACACAGAUAAUCCGCAAGCGCACGGAUACCGUUGAAGCUUUUACCCGGUUAAAGGUUUUAUCGUAUCCACAAGGAAACGAGAGAACUGAUCUACGCUCUAACUUAACCAAGAUAAGUAAAUAAGUGUAAAUAGGAAAGAUGGUAGAAUCGAAUAAGAACAAUAUUAAAGGUAAGAUAACAGUGAGUGAUAAUAUGGGAAUAGAGAGUAGAGCAAUCUAGUAUAUGGGCGAUGGUAGCAGAAUAGAGAGGAUAACUAUGGUUUCUCUACUUCAAAGGGGUAUGUCUAUUUCUGGGACGAACCACGUGAUAAGAGUACACCACAAAGGAUGCUUAUCCUUAGGCCGAUAAACCCUACCCGUCCUGCUAACGAGAGGUGGACUACAGAGGACCAACGUAACUGUCACCUACGCGGCCUACCACACGAUCCAGCUAGACAGGGGAUAUCCAUAUGUAAUCUAGGUCUAAGCACCACGCUUACACCUAUACUACAACUCCAACCUAUAGCGUCCUAUAGAUUAGAAGUACUCAAAAGAGUUGUGAACCAGAACAUACAUGAUUAGUAAUUGCAUAAUGAAUUAGAAGU